CAGUAGCCGCGGGAAUACGUAGGGUGCGAGCGUUAAUCGGAAUUACUGGGCGUAAAGCGUGCGCAGGCGGUUCGUUAAGACAGAUGUGAAAUCCCCGGGCUUAACCUGGGAACUGCAUUUGUGACUGGCGAGCUAGAGUAUGGCAGAGGGGGGUAGAAUUCCACGUGUAGCAGUGAAAUGCGUAGAGACGUGGAGGAAUACCGAUGGCGAAGGCAGCCCCCUGGGCCAAUACUGACGCUCAUGCACGAAAGCGUGGGGAGCAAACAGGAUUAGAUACCCCUGUAGUCCCUGUCUCUUAUAC
rnacentral:rRNA from 1 species